GUGCGCGUGUGUUUACGAGCAAAACUUUUGUCCUUCGUUGAGGGGUUAAAGGCCGAGCGAGAGCAGAGAGACGCGGGGAGAGAUGCGCUCCGGGGCCGCUUCUCUCCGAUCGAUCAGUCGAGCCUGUUAAACAGCCGGCGGAACGGCGACGGUUUAACCACUUUACCUGGAAUAACGUCUCCGACUGCCCAAGCUUAUCACGCGUCGUUUCAGGCGGCGACACGAGGCAAGGCAAAAUAUUCGUUUUGAGAAAUCCUGCAGUGAAAGGUCUCCAACGGAAUCGUCGAGAUUAACUCUCUUAGAGACACCCGACGACCGACGACCGACGCGACGUGUCGACAUAUGUAUAACACAGUGGUUAAUUUUUUAAGGUAACGCACAAAAUGAAAUUGCAUUUUAAAUAGCUUUUACUCCUCGUAGUUAUAGCGACUUCCUCGCUUUUAAGCGUAUUCGUGUUGUUCCACAUUAAAUAAAUGUGCGAUUCUUAUAUGGGUGCAUUAUUUAUAUAAACACUGUUAAAGUUUAUUCAUUGUGAGAAAGAAACAUCAAAUCGGAUAUAUCACGAUUUAAUCUUCUGUACGAGUAUGUAAUACAAGAAGAAAUCUAUAACAUACAUAACAUAAAUGCAAUUUUCUUUUAUAUAUCUGCUGCCUUAUAUUUUUCUAUAUUGUUUUCUCUAAAUUUAUUCAAAUUCUGUAAACAUUUUUUUUGUAACCUGACACUUUCAGUAGCGAAAUUCAGUAAUAAAGAAAGAUCGUUACAAUCCAACGAUCUUUCUUUCAUAAAUUUUAUCAGAAAUUUAGAAAAAACCGAUAUAUGCAAUCUGUCAACAGCAAAAUAUUGGUAUUAUUAUCAUUUUACGACAUACUUGGUUUUUUGUAUUAUGCGUCAUGCGAACCAACUUCAAUCGAUUAUAUAAUUAAAUUUAUUAUCUAUAACUAUAAAGCAUUAUGUAAUACGGAAAAGAGAUACGAGCUGAAUAAUUGUUGGAUCAUGAGAAAUCUCUAUUCUCAAAUAUCUGAAUGAAAAUCGCAUUCUAUAAAAAUAUCGUGCUCUUGCACCUGAAUCUGUUUUACCCGCCGCAUCGUCGAUACGCUUCUCUCGCCUCAUUCCCUCAUCUCCAACUCAUCGUUCGCUUUUGCAUUUUUUUUCUCAUCAAAAACGUUUUCACCGAAUAGCGCCGCGCGCCGCGCGCCGGAGAGCGUGCGCACAGCUUUUACGCAGAACACUCGGCGCAUUUUACAUCCCUGCGGCAACGAUGGAAAUUCAUCGCAUAGACUUACAUAAAUAUUUCCAUUACAGUUCUUUUCACUCUUUUAUCUUUGUUUCUCUCUCUUUCUCAUUUCUUUUCCUCUUUUACUCUUUUCAACAUGCUGUGGUAGAUACUCUUCGACUAUCGGAUACGUCACUUUUAAUUAACGUUGUCGCGCGUCAUUCGGAGCGAUUUAUUCCAAGUUGAAAUUAACGAUUGGACAAUCGUGCUUUCGUGCCGCGAGAAAAUGAGAAGAGAGAGAGAGAGAGAGAGAGAGAGACGAAGAGGAAGGAGAAGAAGAAGAAAGGCAGAGAGCGAACAAAAAAGUUAUACAAGACGAUUGUAAAACUAUAUUAUUGAUGUAAAUAAUUAUUUAUUUAUGACACAAUAAAUAUGUAAUUUAUAGUUGUUACACGCGUGCUGCAAUAUCACGUAUCUCUUGGCGAAUACGAAUUAAUUUAUUACAUUUUCUGCUAGUAUGUAUUCUGUGUCACCAAAAUAUACGAUGAAAAACGACAGCAGUAAUAAUAAUGGCAAAAAACGUGAAUAGAUUGUAAUGAUACUUGCGCAUUUUAGCGAAUUAUUUGUUUGUUUAGUGACAAGUAUAUUUUUACAAACUAACAUAAUAUAAAUUGACACAACAUAAAUUGACACGACUCAAACGAAAAUCAGUAAAAAAUUGAACGUUGCAUCGUUGAAACUAAACUAAUAUAAGUAUACAUAUUAGUCAAAUUAUAUCACACAAUGAUACAAUUAAAAUUCAAUUUUAAUUAAGAAUUAUUUUUCUCUCCGUUAAAGGAUAUCGCUAUUCUGCGGACCGUAAAAUGUACAAGAAGAAGAAAAAUGAUUUUUUUUUAUAUUCACAACUAAUUUCAUCAAAUAUUUAAAAUCAAAACAUGUCAAAUAUGACGGAUAGUUCGCUUAAGCAAGAGUAUCGAUAUUGUCAUUGUGAUGUGAUGUGAUGUGCGAUUUCUAUGCAAAACCAAUGUGAAUGAAUUCCCGAGAGUCCUUGGGACAAGAACGAGUCGGAAUUGAAACAAUAUCAUAUUAUAGAACCAGUGGCACGUCCUUGAUUCGUUUCAAUUAGGCCAAUGUUUCAUAGCCUAUUAACGCAUUCAUGAUCGAGGUAUGAGGAAUCGCUCUGUUUUUCUAAUAAAUAUUCAAUUAACUUUAUCCGCGAUUGCAUAACUCUUCAUCGAUCGCAGAAUACUAAACUCGGCCGCAGAAUGAUUUAAUCAUUUAAAUUAAACUCUUAUUUCUGUUGUUUCUUUUACCUAUUUUGCACAUUGAAAUAAAAAAUUAAAAAAAUAGAUCCAACCCAUCUUUUCAGAUACUAAAAGUUUACCUCAUCACAUUAGAAGGUUAAAAGAGAGCUUUAAAUUAAAUAUCUACCCAAGAUAUAAAAUUCACUUAAAAUUAACAAAAAACAAGUGAAUAUUUUAAUUUUUAAAUUUAUUCAGUCUGAGAAGGCGUUUUAUUUUCAUGUAAUAAUUGUUCAUUAUUCGAAAAUGAGUAGCUGAAAGAAAAUUGAAUUUUCAAAGAAUUUAUGAAAAAGGAAUAUAGAGAUUUGUGAGAUUUGUACAAUUUUUACUGGAGUGGCAUGUACAAACGGACAUCUUUUUCGCUCGUGUAAUACUAUCAUCCGGCGCUUGGUCCUGUUCGUCGCGUCGCGUCGCGUCGCGUCGCGUAGCGUCACGUCGUUAAAAUCAUGAAGAAAAUAUCAUUUUUCGCAGGAGGAGGUAACCUGGCGCGUUCACGUAUGCGUGCACUUUUCGUGAUUUUCCAUCUCUUUUUACAUUUUAAACUAUCCUUUUGAUGCAAACUUUGGCAAUCCAGCUGUUGAAAGUUCUAGAACCAUUUAUCAGGGUACUUUUUUGUUUUUAUUUCUCUUUUUUUACGGUUACUCGUGCGACCGUCCGCAUAGCAUCUUUUUUUACGUAACGCUCGGUCAAAAGCGAAGUAACGUGAAAGUAGCUCAGGAAAUAAAUAUUCCGUCCGCAUGGAGGGAUUAUACGAGACCGCGGGUCACGUAUAAAAGUCGACGACCCCGAUGAAAUCUCGGAAGAAAUGGCAAAACUGUUUUCAUAUCACGAUACUCCUUACGAUUGUGCGAAAAUUUAUAUAAGAUUGUUUCACACGUUCAUCCUUGAGCAUAUAUUUUUGAAUGCUUAAACUGUACAUAAGUGUAAAGCUGUGUUUACGAGCAGAUAUACAUUUAACUCGUAUUUAUUUCAAGCUCACGGAUCAUUCUUAAAAAAAAAA